rnacentral:rRNA from 1 species
GAUGAACGCUGGCGGCGUGCCUAAUACAUGCAAGUAGAACGCUGAAGGAGGAGCUUGCUCUUUCCGGAUGAGUUGCGAACGGGUGAGUAACGCGUAGGUAACCUGCCUGGUAGCGGGGGAUAACUAUUGGAAACGAUAGCUAAUACCGCAUAACAGUAGAUAUUGCAUGAUAUUUGCUUGAAAGGGGCAAUUGCUCCACUACCAGAUGGACCUGCGUUGUAUUAGCUAGUUGGUGAGGUAACGGCUCACCAAGGCGACGAUACAUAGCCGACCUGAGAGGGUGAUCGGCCACACUGGGACUGAGACACGGCCCAGACUCCUACGGGAGGCAGCAGUAGGGAAUCUUCGGCAAUGGACGGAAGUCUGACCGAGCAACGCCGCGGGAGGGAAGAAGGGUGUCGGAUCGUAAAGCUCUGUUGUAAGAGAAGAACGAGUGUGAGAGUGGAAAGUUCACACUGUGACGGUAUCUUACCAGAAAGGGACGGCUAACUACGUG